rnacentral:rRNA from 1 species
CCUACGGGAGACAGCAGUGAGGAAUAUUGGUCAAUGGCCGGAAGGCUGAACCAGCCAUGCCGCGUGAAGGUCAGUGCCCUAUGGGCGUUAAACUUCUUUUGUGCGGGAGCAAUAAUGGUCACGUGUGGCCAGACGAGAGUACCGUACGAAUAAGCAUCGGCUAACUCCGUGCCAGCAGCCGCGGUAAUACGGGGGAUGCAAGCGUUAUCCGGAUUUAUUGGGUUUAAAGGGUGCGUAGGCGGUGAGGUAAGUCAGCGGUGAAAUGCCCCCGCUCAACGGGGUGAAGUGCCAUUGAUACUGCCUUGCUGGAAUGCGGAUGCCGUGGGAGGAAUGUGUGGUGUAGCGGUGGAAUGCAUAGAUAUCACACAGAACACCGAUUGCGAAGGCAUCUCACGAAUCCGCGAUUGACGCUGAUGCACGAAAGCGUGGGUAUCAAACAGGAUUAGAUACCCCAGUAGUC